rnacentral:rRNA from 1 species
GUGUCAGCCGCCGCGGUAAGACAGAGGGUGCAAACGUUGUCCGGAAUCACUGGGCAUAAAGCGCACGUAGGCGGUGGCGUAAGUCAGGUGUGAAAUCCCUCGGCCUAACCGAGGAACCGCGCCUGAUACUGCGUUGCUUGAGGACCAGAGGGGUGCACGGAAUUUCCGGUGGAGCGGUGAAAUGCGUUGAUAUCGGAAGGAACUCCGGCGGCGAAAGCGGUGCACUGGCUGGUUUCUGACGCUGAGGUGCGAAAGCCAGGGGAGCAAACGGGAUUAGAUACCCCCGUAGUCC